CCGGCUCCGGGCUUUUCCGUUUUCCAAAGCGGCUUCCGCUUCCGGGCUAGCCUUUGCCGGAAACAGUCUAUGGGUGACGUAAAAGUGUCGCGCCGGCGGUGAUUCCGGAAGAAACAACAGUGCGGCGUGAACAUGGGGAAGCAAAAGAAAACGAGGAAGUAUGCGACCAUGAAGCGAAUGCUUAGUCUCAGAGAUCAGAGGCUGUGAGUGUCUGGAAUCAACGGGGUUCAUAGACUGCCCAAAGAUGUAGAAGUCACGAGGGGAUAAGUCGUUAAAACUUUUGUUGUUACUUUGCAUUCACUUUUAAUAGCAUUGUGUCUUGGAUGUAUGUAUAUAGCAUGAGAUAGUCAAGUGUAUAACAGCCACUUAGCUGCUGAAGGAGUACCCUGGAAAAUGGGGCUGGAAUUAAACAUCUAAGCGUUCACUUUGUGCCACCAUUUUUAUAUAUUUUAUCUACCAUAUCACAUUUAAGCCUCCUAAUAUUUCUGUGAAGUGGGUGGAAUUAUGUUUAUGUUCUUGUCAUUAGACUACUAUAUUCGAUAGGAAAAAAAUGUUAUAAUUGUUGAAGGAAGGUGAGGUCAGAGGUGAUCUUUGUCUUGUGUCUCCAGCACCUGACACUCAAAUAUUUUUGAAAGAAAGAAUGGGAAACACCUAGAUGUCUUCAUUUUAUAAAUUUCAUAAGAAUUCAGAUGACUGUGGAAGAAGAAAGUGGAAUGAUGUUCCCUAUUAUAAGGAGGGUGUGAAAAGCUUCACAGCUUCAAUGAAGAAUGGACAAAUAAAGAAAAGGAUAGAUUAAAACCUAAAAAGAAAGAAAAGAAAGAUCCCAGUGCACUCAAAGAAAGAGAAGUCCCCCAACACCCCUCCUGCUUAUUCUUCCAAUAUAACACACAGCUAGGCCCACCUUACCACAUCCUGGUUGAUACCAACUUUAUCAACUUUUCCAUUAAGGCCAAACUGGACUUAGUGCAGUCAAUGAUGGAUUGUCUCUAUGCCAAGUGAUCGCCAAGGAUCCAAGAUUUGAACGAUUACCAUGCACACACAAAGGAACCUAUGCAGAUGACUGCUUAGUACAGAGAGUAACUCAGCACAAGUGUUAUAUUGUGGCCACAGUUGACCGGGACCUUAAACGAAGAAUCAGGAAGAUCCCUGGAGUUCCCAUCAUGUACAUUUCUAACCAUAGGUACAACAUUGAGCGGAUGCCAGAUGAUUAUGGAGCCCCUCGAUUCUAAUACUUAAAAAACAAAGUUUCUCUGCUUUCCUUCAACCAAAUUUCUCUGUUGCAGGUUUAUUAAACAUGCUACAACAUGCAAUAUUGCUCCACUCACACAUUUGCUGUUAUGAGCUGAGAACAGUUAAAUACACUCACUUUUUGGUGGUGUUUUGAAAAUGAUUUUGAUGUUGUUUUGAAAAUGAUAUUUUGUUUCAUUUGAAAUUUUGUUACAUCUUUUUAUAAAUCUGAUGACUGCUCACAACUUC